AAAAAAUUCUUCUUCCAAGAUUCAAGUUGUGUCAUUUCACCUUAAUAACUGGAGAUUUAGUCCGGAUUCCCGGUAUCUGGCAGUAGGUUCUAGUGAGAACUCAGUGGAUUUUUAUGACCUAACGCUGGGCCCCACUCUUAACAGAAUCAGCUACUGCAAAGACAUUCCAAGCUUUGUCAUUCAAAUGGACUUCUCUGCAGAUAGCAGUUAUCUCCAGGUCUCUAGUGGCUGCUAUAAACGGCAUGUCUAUGAAGUGCCUUCAGGAAAACAUCUUAUGGAUCAUGCCGCUAUUGACAGAAUUACUUGGGCUACAUGGACUAGUAUUCUAGGAGAUGAGGUUUUGGGAAUCUGGUCCAGACAUGCUGAGAAAGCUGAUGUCAACUGUGCCUGUGUAUCUCAUUCAGGAAUCAGUCUUGUUACAGG
rnacentral:lncRNA from 1 species